GGUGUCACUUACUAGGACGUCUUCCAGGCAGGGACAGAGGCUGGGAGGCCCAGGGAGGGUGUGUUCAGGGCCUUUGACCCACACGUGUGGCCAGGAAGCAAAGACAGGAAGGAGAGCCGAGUUGAUCUUGCACAGCCAGGAAUUCUCCCCGAGGUCUGACCUGCUUUCUGUGAAUCCUGUUGAAAUCCAUUUCCUCUCCCCCAGGGCCCUUCAGGGCUGUUUUCCCUGGAGGCUCUGGGAGCACCAGUGGGUGCUCAUGUGACUUCAUGCAUCUUCACCCCUUCUUUCCUCUUCUGUCUCCACCUCCUCUCUGCCUCUUCCUCCGCCCCUUCUCCCCUCCCCCUAGACAAGCUUUCAGGUUUAGGGGAGCUGUGGAGUGAUGGGGACAUGCUGUGGGGAGUAAAAGAGAAGUGUGUUCGGAUCCAGACCCAAUAAAGCAGCCUCAGUCCACCUUUCCAGGUCUAGGUAGAUGGGAAAGCUGAGCAGAGUGGGUGGGAAUCUGGCAGACCCAGACAUUGGGUCCCCAAGUGUCAGAUUCUAACAGGGCUGGCCCGGGAGCCACCCCUCAGAAAUGCAGAGUGAAAACGCUUAGAGGCCCUGGAAACAGAAAAAUGGGCCGUCAUGCAGGCUGGUUUGCUCUUCUCUCCUGGUUGCAAUUAGGCGUCUGCUACCCAGGGCUUUGAGAGUUCGUAAACAUCUUGGCAGGACACGUUCCCAGGGCCCUUAGCCUUCGCUGACCACCCAUGGCUGGUCCAGCAGGCCUGGCUGGAAUCCUGGCCCCGUGCCUCCUGGUUGUGGCCUCUCCUCACUUUUCCGACCUUAGCUUUCUAGCAUGAAGAUCCUGCCUCAGAGAGAUGCUAUGGAGAUGGAAAGUGCAGGUGAGUGGCUUGUGCCAGACAGACCAGUGCAUGGGAAGAACCCACUUUAUGUCUCAUCCUGGAUCGCAACGUCUGCUCGCCGAGAGCCAGUGUGUGCGAGCCAUUCACAGAGCCAAAAGGGAGUUAGGGACCAGGAAGGACUGAGAAAGCUUAUGGGUCCCCUGCCCUCAGGACCACAAACAAGGCCACCCUCACCCAACCCAGGAGGCCCUCCCCACCUCUUCCCUCUGCCUGGGGCUCCCUCACCCCUUCAUUUAGGGAAGAAGAGGUGUCCAGGCUGGAGAGAUUGACGGAAGGAGCAGCUUCACAGACCAGUUGCCUCUGGUGGGGGCGGUGCACUGGGGUUGGCUCCCACCCCACACCAGCAGGGGUGGGCUGCUGAGAGCAGGGGUGGGAGGGAGGCAGCGCAGGCAGGUUGCCGUGGGGAGGCGAGGAUCGAAUGGGGAAGCAGACGGCCUAGAGGCACACCUCGUGGGCUACUCCUGGUUCCCUCCACCCUGGGCUGUGAGUCCCUCGGUGCUUCCAGCCACUGUGGAAUGGGACUGCCAGCAGUGCCACCAGGCUUCUCCCGGGGCAGGGUGCCGUUGGCAGCAGUGAUGGGGAGGCCAGCAGCUGGGGUGCUUCCCCCCGCCCCCCAUCAUCCUAAGAGCUCUUCCACCACUGGCCUCGGGUUAUAGCACAGAACCUGCAGGCAGGGAGCACACCAACAUCCUUUGUCCUGCACAGCUUGCAGCAGCCGCCAGAACCUCAGGCAGGGGGUCUGCCCAGCCGAUCUGCUGGCCACCUGGGCCUUGCCUCCUGGCAGUUCCCCAGGGGAGAAGGGAAACAAUGGAAGUCACCAAGGCCAUGGGCAAGGGGAAGAGGGAUGUAGGGUCCUGUGAUUCCCCUGAGUGCACCACCUUGCUCCAUUGGGUCUGUUUUUAUCUAUCAAUAAAAGAGAGUUCUAAGAACCAAGUGGCGAUGUGUAUAUCUGUUCACCAGUACUGGAACGUUUUCACAGCAGAAUCGGAAACCCCCAUGACUGCUUGCAGGAGAUGGAUCACUCAUGGAGGCAUAUGCCGUGAUGGAAGAUUCUGGGACACCACGUGUCUGACUUGUUCACGCCAGAAACUUUCGCUUCCAUGGCUGCCCUAACCACCCUGAAGGCAAAGCCUGGAUUAAGUCACCGGGUGGCAAGAGCUUUUCCAGCAGGUCCCAGCAGCUGGAUGGGGAGGACGGCGCCUGAAACACCUGUCCCGGGGCUAGUGUUGUUCAUACAAGCAGUCGCAGACGUACAAGAGUGCGUAUUUGUCUUUCCAAGCACCGGACCGUGAGAACCACACUUGCCUUGGGAAUCUUGCUGGGUUUGGGGCGGCAUUUUCAGACGGCCUUCACCGCACCUCGGAACCUCGGGAGAGCAUUCCAGAGUCUGCCUCUUUCCAUGCUGCGCUGGACCGGAACUCGGGCCUUGAAUCUCCUUGUUUGUUUAGAACAUUAUUGAGAUGGGGCUCGGAGAAGACAAGUGACUUGCUGGCUUGCACAGUUGGAGACUGGUGGUUGAGACUGAAGCCCUGCUGGGUGGAACUGUCUGCUGCCUCCCUGGCCCUUCCUUCCCACCCAGGUCCAUGGCCUCUUGCUCCCAUGCCCUUUCCCUGGAGUCCUGUGAGAUGAAGGCCUGGUAUGGCCAUGAGAAUGGGUAGGCCCCAGGGUGCUUUGACAUUUCUAGUAAAGCCUGUAGGGACCCCUUUUUCCCCCAGUGGGACCCUUUGGAGUCUUAUGACCUCAAUGGCCUCCCACUGGGAGACACUGACCCUCACUUGUCAACAAAUGGCGGGCCAGAUCCUCAGUGACUUACAGCAAAAUCAGAUCCCUCGUCAGAUAUGGCUCUGCGAGAUGGAACUCUCAGGAGCGCUGGUCAAUUCUGUGCCUGAGCCAGUGCGCUGUCUCCCCCUGGAAGCCACACCAGGGUCAGAAGGUGACCUGACUCUGAGCCUGGGCAGGCAGGAGUCAGCAGGUGCAUGUGACAGCCUGAUACACCCCUCCCUUCAGGGCAGUUGGACGGCAGUAGAGUCCAGGCCAGCACCCCUCUGCCUUCCUAGGAGAGCCUUUCCUGGGGUCCUGCAGACCCCCCACCCUCUUUCAGCACAUCCUGCCCUCCUGCUGAGUCCAGGGCAGAAAUUCCCAGUGCUCCCAGAGGUGGUACCCAGGUCAGUGGGAUUGAAAUGAUGUAUGCAGGUGGUUGUGGGAGAUGGGCCAAGGGUGCACUGUGGGAGGGAACCCCCUCUGGGAGAGCUCAGAGGGGCAUCUCGUGCUAUGGAGCCCAGAGCCCCAGACUGCCCUGAAGCAACACCCCCAGAGUUUGAGCACUGCUGGUGUACGGGGCAUGGCAGCUCCGGGGGGCAGAAUCUGGGAUCUGUCAGCUGCAGCCUCAACCAGCUGGGCGUGCUGGGUGGUCCCAUGAGCAUGGGGAGCCUCGGGCUCCCCUCCAGCACCCCUCCCUGGGCUCGGUGUACCUUCUACGACAGCACAUGCCAUGGGAGCUAAAGCUGGUGUUGCUGUUACUGCGUAGUUCUGUGCCACAGUCCUGUGCUCCCUUCCAGAGAGUGUGGCAAGCCUGGAGUGGGGAGGAAGGGUCCUGGACCCAGAUGACAAGGCACAAGGCACGGUCGCAGACACCAUGACAUUUAGCCUUCGACACAUCUGCUGAAGCAGGGCUGUGCAGAUAAAGAAACUGAGGCUUCAUGGUUAAGAGGGUACAUCGACUUUGGAGUUAGGCAGAGCCAAGUUUGCAUCCUGGCUCUGCAUCUUCCCAGCUAUGGGAACUUGGUCAAAUAACUUAACCUCGGUAUGCCUCAGUGUCCUCGUCUGUAAAAUGGGAACAACACAGCAUUGUAUUUAAAGGGCUCUUUUGAGCAUUAGUGGAAGUAAUGUUUGCAAAGUGCUUUAGCACAGGGUAAACACUCAAAGCAUGUUGGCUAGUUGUUUCUGUGAGAAAAAGACAACUUCACAGAGUUGUGCAGGGGCCGUAAAGAGAAGGCCUCUGGAAGACAUAAACCAGCACUGACAGGCAAUUUGCAUUGCAAGAGGACUGUUUCGAAGGGAGGAAGACCAGUCAGGAGGCGUUGCAUUCAGCAUUUCAGGUGGUAAUAGGGAUGGAAAAGAGAGGGUAGAGUUAAAUAUCUAGGAUGUAACAUUGAUAGGAUUUUGUGACUGAGUCGGGGAAAAUGAGAGAGAGUGAGGAGGUAAGUGUAUUGGUGACAGGACAGUUACAAAGUGAUCGGUAGUAUGACCCUGUAUCAACAGGCUAUUGGCAAAUGCACUUUAGGUCAAGAUGAUCUUAGAGGUGUUUUGUCUUGUUGAGAAAUACAGCCUAAAAAAGACUGAUGUGUUUGAAUAUAUAAAUUAAAUACAGAUAACAA